UACGUAGGGGGCAAGCGUUAUCCGGAUUUACUGGGUGUAAAGGGAGCGUAGGCGGUGCAGCAAGUCAGAAGUGAAAGCCCGGGGCUCAACUCCGGGACUGCUUUUGAAACUGUUGAACCAGAUUGCAGGAGAGGUAAGUGGAAUUCCUAGUGUAGCGGUGAAAUGCGUAGAUAUUAGGAGGAACACCAGUGGCGAAGGCGGCUUACUGGACUGUAAAUGACGCUGAGGCUCGAAAGCGUGGGGAGCAAACAGG
rnacentral:rRNA from 1 species